GACAGACUCUGGGGAUCUGGUGUCAUAAAGACAGGACGGGGACCAGGACAGACUCUGGGGGCCUGGUGUCAUAAAGACAGGACGGGGACCCGGACAGACUCUAGGGGCCUGGUGUCAUAAAGACAGGACGGGGACCGGGACAGACUCGGGGGACCACGGUGUCAUAAAGACAGGGAUGGGGACCGGGACAGACUCUAGGGGCCUGGUGUCAUAAAGACAGGAUGGGGACCAAGACAGACUCUGGGGAUCUGGU
rnacentral:lncRNA from 1 species